AGCUAUAUGUGGAGCGGUGAAAGGCUCAGUAACGGGCGAUUUAUUUAAUCUCCUGGGACGGACAACAUCGGGAAACUGAUGGGAAAACGUCUAAGUUGCAUUAAUGUUAGUGUGACGUAAACGAUAUCGUGCAGGAGAGUAAGAUGCCAUCCUAUCAGUUAGUAAGUAGGGUAAGGGCCUACUUAGACGAAGACGGGUACGGGGAAUGAGGGUUUGAUUCCGGAGAGGGAGCCUGAGAGAUGGCUACCAGGACCAAGGUCAGCAGCAGGCGCGAAAAUUAUCGAAGCCCGCCUAGGGGCGAUAGUGAGGAGACGUGUAUAACGAAGUACGUGUAAAGAACGUACUAAUAACUGGAGGUCAAGUCUGGUGCCAGCAUCCGCGGUAAUUCCAGCUCCAGGGGUGUCUAUGAUGAUUGCUGCGAUUAAAAAGUCCGUAGUCAAGCUGACUGACUGACCUGCAAUGUGAUUGAUUAAGGAACGAGCAGGGUUAGGAAAGCAGAGAAUUAGGAGCGACCGAGGGCUAGAGUAUUGAAUGGCGAGAGGUGAAAUUUGAUGACCCAUUCAGGAGUGACAAAGGCGAAGGCACUAGUCAAGGGCGAAUCCGAUGAUCAAGGACGUAGGCUAGAGUUUCGAAAACGAUUAGAGACCGGAGUAGUUCUAGCAGUAAACUAUGCCGACGCCGUGAUAUAGUUUGUGGUAUUGCGGAAGAGAAAUCAAGUAAGGCUUUGGGGAGAGUACGCGCGCAAGCGAUAAAUUUAAAGGAAAUUGACGGAGGAACACCACAAGGAGUGGAGUGUGCGGCUUAAUUUGACUCAACGCGGGACAGCUUACCAGGCCCGAUAAUCGAGCGAGCGUUGUACGCGAUAGAUUAAAGAGUGGUGCAUGGCUGCUAUCGACAGUUGGGGUGACCUUAGGGUUAAUUCCGGCAAGUAGUGAGACCCCUGCAGAUAGUGGACAGGUAUUUUUAAAAUACAGGAAGGAAGGGACAAGAGCAGGUCAGUGAUGCCCUUAGAUGGCCUGGGCUGCACGCGCACUACAGUGGUCAUUAUAAGUAGAAGUUAGAAGUAAAGAUGAUCGAGAGGGACUGAGCUUUGUAAGAGGCUCACGAACGAGGAAUUGCUAGUAAUCGUAGGCUCAUUAAGAUACGAUGAAUAUGUCCCUGUACCUUGUACACACCGCCCGUCGUUAUCGAAGAUGGAAUUGUGUGCGAACGAGCAACAAGCGAGUGAGCGCAUAGUUCUAGAUGUGAUAAAAGUCGUAACAAGGCAACUGUAGGAGAACCUGUAGUUGGAUCAUACAGAUUUAAUUUAAGUAGUUUUUAAUAAAUUCCUUACGCAAGGGAUCGUUUGGCUCUAUGUGCGAUGAAGGUCGGAACAGUAUUCGAUAAUAUAAGAUGAUUGUAUAAAUUGUCUUAUGUUUCUGAAUAGAGUAGUGAUGCUCGAUUACUCCUUUGAAUUAAGCAUAUGAGUAAAGGAAGGAGAAGAAACUAACAAGGAUUCUCUUAUUAGUGGCGAAUGAACAGAGAAGAGCCCUAAGUGUAAUCAAAUUCUAAGAAUUUGAGAUGUCAGGUAUUAUGUGGUGUGAAUGUACUGGAAAGUACUGCCGAAGAGAGUUAUAGCCUCGUAACACCAUUUUGUAGGUAUGAGUAGUUGUGCUCGGUAAUGCACAAUGAAAUAGGUGGUAGUGUCCAUCUAAGGCUAAAUAUGACAUAGAGACCGAUAGUGAAUAAGUAAAGUGAUCGAAAAUGGAAUAGA
rnacentral:rRNA from 1 species